rnacentral:rRNA from 1 species
UACCAGCACCCCGAGUGGUCGGGACGAUUAUUGGGCCUAAAGCAUCCGUAGCCGGUUUUACAAGUCCUCCGUUAAAUCCAACUGCUUAACAGAUGGGCCGCGGAGGAUACUAUAAGACUAGGAGGCAGGAGAGGCAAGCGGUACUCAGUGGGUAGGGGUAAAAUCCGUUGAUCCAUUGAGGACCACCAGUGGCGAAGGCGGCUUGCCAGAAUGCGCUCGACGGUGAGGGAUGAAAGCUGGGGGAGCAAACGGG